UGGAACAGAUGGGAUCUGCGGGAUCCUGGUCCAGCUUGGGGUAGGGUGGGGAGGGGAGGUUCUCUGAGGAAGGAAGGCCUUCUCUGAGGAUUUUAGUGUUGCAGCUCUUGUAGGUGAUACUCAAUGAAACAGCUCUCUUAGAGAAUCUUCAGUAAAAUAGCUGCUGUGCAUACACUGUAUACAAGGGCUACAUAUGAACCUUGGAGAGUGGAGAUUUCUGGGUGAAUAUAAAAGGCGAUGGCUGAAGCUUAAGUCCUGUGAAUGCCUCAUUUGUCUGGAGAUGCGUUCCGAGAAUCUCAGGUUCAUCCUUGUCGUAGCAUCCUUCCUUAAUGGAUGAGUGACCUUCUGCUGUGUGGAUCACCUCAUUGUGCCUGUCCAUUCAUCUGCUGAUAGACACUGGGUUAUUCUCACCUUUGACUUGAAUCUUGCUGCUGUGAACACUGAUGUACAAGCAGAUAUCCCAGUCCCUGCUUUCAGCUUGAGUAAACUCCUCCAGAUUUGAAUUUGCCCUUUGAAUCCUUGGUGGCAUAUGGUGGAAUUGUGGCUAGCAGACAGUCUCUCACUAAACCUGGAGCUUGUGGAUUUUGCUAGACUGACUGACAAUCAAGCCCCUGUGUCCUUCUGCCUCUGCCUCCCCAGAGCUGAGGUUACAGGUGCAAGCCAUGAUGCCAGACUCUGUAAGUGACUGCUGAAGUUCAACUCAGAUCUUCAUGUUUGACUGUCAUCUCCCAGGCUACACUCCUUGAACUAAGUCAGGCUACAGAGGCUGCAUUUCCUAGAGACAUCUGGUCAACCUCACAUCCAUGGAGUAGAGAGCAGAGAACACUCCUUAGAGAAAAGGGACCUGAGUUCAAGUGGGUUCCAGUCUGAAUCCCAGACUGAACAGCUUUCGUAUUUUUCAAUUAGUCUGGAGCUUUUCAUACCUGUAAAUUCUGCUUCUGGAAUAGUCUUCCACCUAGUACGUCAGCUUUUCCCAAGGAGAGUGCCUUCCCCACCUGCAUACUUCCUUUUCUGAGAAGUGUCUAAUUUCUAUGUUGCAACAAAUAUGUACUCAGUGAUAAGUGGAUAUUAGCCCAGAAACUUAGG